rnacentral:rRNA from 1 species
AAAAGAAGAGGUAAUCCUCGCCCCCAGCAAUAUAUGACAGCAUUUCAGAAUGCUAUCGAUGAUUGCAAUCUCAAGGAUAUGGGAUUUGUCGGGGAUAUGUUCACCUGGAGGAGAGGAAGAAUACAGGAGAGAUUGGACAGGGGUCUAAUAAACGACGAGUGGUCGAUUCUAUACCCACAUGUUGUGCUUGAAAAUCUGGAGUUCAAUCAUUCAGACCACAGACCUAUUCUUGUGAACACUGAAUAUUACAUUCAGGAACAUGUGGAUCCUAACCAAAGACCAAGGAGGUUUGAGGCGUACUGGCUGAAGGAAAGAAAAUUUACUGAAGUAGUACAGGACGCAUGGGAUCAUGUUUCAGCGAACCAAGGAACUAGCAUGUAUGAAAAACUUUCAUGCAUGCAUGGUCGCUUCCAUGAUUGGGACCAGAGAUUCUUAAAAAACCUAAGAAGCGAUUACACAAGGCGCAACGGGAGUUGGAACACGCGAUGA